GGGGCCGUAGUUUAGCUUGGGAGAAUGCGGGGUUCGGGUCCCCGUGGUCCGGGGUUCAAAUCCCCGCGGCCCCACCA
rnacentral:tRNA from 1 species